AUUGAUGGGGUUAGCUAACGCGAAGCUCUUGAUCGAAGCCCCGGUAAACGGCGGCCGUAACUAUAACGGUCCUAAGGUAGCGAAAUUCCUUGUCGGGUAAGUUCCGACCUGCACGAAUGGCGUAACGAUGGCGGCGCUGUCUCCACCCGAGACUCAGUGAAAUUGAAAUCGCUGUGAAGAUGCAGUGUAUCCGCGGCUAGACGGAAAGACCCCGUGAACCUUUACUAUAGCUUUGCACUGGACUUUGAAUUUGCUUGUGUAGGAUAGGUGGGAGGCUUUGAAGCGUGGACGCCAGUUCGCGUGGAGCCAUCCUUGAAAUACCACCCUGGCAACUUUGAGGUUCUAACUCAGGUCCGUUAUCCGGAUCGAGGACAGUGUAUGGUGGGUAGUUUGACUGGGGCGGUCUCCUCCUAAAGAGUAACGGAGGAGUACGAAGGUGCGCUCAGACCGGUCGGAAAUCGGUCGUAGAGUAUAAAGGCAAAAGCGCGCUUGACUGCGAGACAGACACGUCGAGCAGGUACGAAAGUAGGUCUUAGUGAUCCGGUGGUUCUGUAUGGAAGGGCCAUCGCUCAACGGAUAAAAGGUACUCCGGGGAUAACAGGCUGAUACCGCCCAAGAGUUCAUAUCGACGGCGGUGUUUGGCACCUCGAUGUCGGCUCAUCACAUCCUGGGGCUGAAGCCGGUCCCAAGGGUAUGGCUGUUCGCCAUUUAAAGUGGUACGCGAGCUGGGUUUAGAACGUCGUGAGACAGUUCGGUCCCUAUCUGCCGUGGACGUUUGAGAUUUGAGAGGGGCUGCUCCUAGUACGAGAGGACCGGAGUGGACGAACCUCUGGUGUUCCGGUUGUCACGCCAGUGGCAUUGCCGGGUAGCUAUGUUCGGGAAAGAUAACCGCUGAAAGCAUCUAAGCGGGAAACUUGCCUCAAGAUGAGAUCUCACUGGAACCUUGAGUUCCCUAAAGGGCCGUCGAAGACUACGACGUUGAUAGGUUGGGUGUGUAAGCGCUGUGAGGCGUUGAGCUAACCAAUACUAAUUGCCCGUGAGGCUUGACCAU
rnacentral:rRNA from 1 species